GGCGAACGGGUGAGGAAUACAUGGAUAACGUACCCUGGACACGGGAAUAGCGGCGGGGAAACCCUUUGCGAAAGUGCCGGUAAUACCCGAUGACCCCGCGGAAUCGCAUGGUUCUGCGGGCAAAUGCUCCGACGGUCUGGGAUCGGUUCAUGACCUAUCAGCUAGUUGGCGGGGUAACGGCCCACCAAGGCUGCGACGGGUAGCGGGCGUGAGAGCGCGACCCGCCACAUCGGGACUGAGACACUGCCCGGACACCUACGGGUGGCUGCAGCAACGAAUAUUCCGCAAUGGACGAAAGUCUGACGGAGCGACGCCGCGUGCAGGAUGAAGUCCCUCGGGAUGUAAACUGCUGUCAGGGGUUAGGAAAUUUGACCAGCCCCAGAGGAAGCCACGGCUAACUCCGUGCCAGCAGCCGCGGUAAUACGGAGGUGGCAAGCGUUGUUCGGAAUUACUGGGCUUAAAGCGCGUGUAGGCGGGACGGAAAGUGUCGGGUGAAAGCCCUUGGCUCAACCAAGGAACUGCUUGGCAUACUUCCGUUCUUGAGGUAGGUAGAGGUCGCUAGAACGACGGGUGGAGCGGUGAAAUGCGUAGAUAUCCGUUGGAACGCCGGUGGCGAAAGCGGGCGACUGGACCUAUCCUGACGCUGAGACGCGAAAGCGUGGGGAGCAAACAGGAUUAGAUACCCUGGUAGUCCACGCCGUAAACGAUGCGCACUAGGAAUGAGAGGCUCUGACGCCGAUCGUUCCGAAGCAAAAGUGUUAAGUGCGCCGCCUGGGGAGUACGGCCGCAAGGCUAAAACUCAAAGGAAUUGACGGGGGCUCACACAAGCGGUGGAGUAUGUGGAUUAAUUCGAAGCAACGCGCAGAACCUCACCUGGGUUUGACAUGCUAGGAUGCCCUUUGGGAAACCAGAGUAAGCUGCCUUCGGGUGAACUAGCACAGGUGCUGCAUGGCUGUCGUCAGCUCGUGCUGUGAAGUGUCGGGUAAGUCCCUACGAGCGAAACCCUAUCGUAGUUGCACGGGUAUGCCGGGACUCUAGCGA
rnacentral:rRNA from 1 species